CUAAGCGUAUACGGUGGAUGCCUUGGCAGUUAGAGGCGAUGAAGGACGUGUAAGUCUGCGAAAAGCUGUGGUGAGCCGACAAAAUGCAUUUGAGCCACAGAUGUCCGAAUGGGGAAACCCACCUAUUUAUAGGUAUCGUUACAUGAAUAUAUAGUGUAACGAGGCGAACGAGGGGAACUGAAACAUCUAAGUACCCUUAGGAAAAGAAAUCAACCGAGAUUCCCCUAGUAGCGGCGAGCGAACGGGGAUUAGCCCUUAAGCAAUUAUGAACGUAGUGGAAGCCUCUGGGAAGUGGCGCGAUACAAGGUGAUAGCCCUGUACACGAAGUGUUUGUUUUUGUGAAAUCGAGUAGGUCGGGACACGUGUUAUCUUGACUGAAUAUGGGGGGACCAUCCUCCAAGGCUAAAUACUCCUAACUGACCGAUAGUGAACCAGUAC
rnacentral:rRNA from 1 species